UACGUAGGGUGCAAGCGUUAAUCGGAAUUACUGGGCGUAAAGCGUGCGCCGGCGGUUAUGCAAGACAGAUGUGAAAUCCCCGGGCUCAACCUGGGAACUGCAUUUGUGACUGCAUGGCUAGAGUGCGGCAGAGGGGGAUGGAAUUCCGCGUGUAGCAGUGAAAUGCGUAGAUAUGCGGAGGAACACCGAUGGCGAAGGCAAUCCCCUGGGCCUGCACUGACGCUCAUGCACGAAAGCGUGGGGAGCAAACAGG
rnacentral:rRNA from 1 species